rnacentral:rRNA from 1 species
AGAGUUUGAUCCUGGCUCAGGACGAACGCUGGCGGCGUGCUUAACACAUGCAAGUCGAGCGAUGAAGCUCCUUCGGGGGUGGAUUAGCGGCGGACGGGUGAGUAACACGUGGGUAACCUGCCUCAUAGAGGGGAAUAGCCUUUCGAAAGGAAGAUUAAUACCGCAUAAGAUUGUAGUGCCGCAUGGCAUAGCAAUUAAAGGAGUAAUCCGCUAUGAGAUGGACCCGCGUCGCAUUAGCUAGUUGGUGAGGUAACGGCUCACCAAGGCGACGAUGCGUAGCCGACCUGAGAGGGUGAUCGGCCACAUUGGGGCUGAGACACGGCCCAGACUCCUACGGGAGGCAGCAGUGGGGAAUAUUGCACAAUGGGGGAAACCCUGAUGCAGCAACGCCGCGUGAGUGAUGACGGUCUUCGGAUUGUAAAGCUCUGUCUUCAGGGACGAUAAUGACGGUACCUGAGGAGGAAGCCACGGCUAACUACGUGCCAGCAGCCGCGGUAAUAC